GUGAGGUGAUGACRAAGUUUAUCCAUUCUCUGAGUGCAGUGGCACUGCCCUCCUGCAGCACCCUGAUUCCUGUUCUAGGGUCUGGGUGCUGUGCGGCCUCCGGAGACCCUGCAGUCUCCCAGUGUCCUACURGGGGCUGCUGGGGCCUGUGGCUGGCUGCCUGCAGGAGUGAGGCGUGCUGGCAGGGUUGGAGCCCCCUCCGUGSGGGCUCCAUCCCCACCGAGAUGAGGGAUGAUGUCUGAUCAC
ensembl:snoRNA